AGAGUUUGAUCAUGGCUCAGAUUGAACGCUGGCGGCAGGCCUAACACAUGCAAGUCGAGCGCGAAAACACUUCGGUGUGAGUAGAGCGGCGGACGGGUGAGUAAUGCUUGGGAAUCUGCCCAGUAGUGGGGGAUAACGUGUGGAAGCGCACGCUAAUACCGCAUACGUCCUACUGGAGAAAGCAGGGGAUCUUCGGACCUUGCGCUAUUGGAUGAGCCCAAGUCAGAUUAGCUAGUUGGUGAGGUAAUGGCUCACCAAGGCGACGAUCUGUAGCUGGUCUGAGAGGAUGAUCAGCCACACUGGGACUGAGACACGGCCCAGACUCCUACGGGAGGCAGCAGUGGGGAAUAUUGCACAAUGGGCGAAAGCCUGAUGCAGCCAUGCCGCGUGUGUGAAGAAGGCUCUAGGGUUGUAAAGCACUUUCAGUGGGGAGGAAAAGUUUAAGAUUAAU
rnacentral:rRNA from 1 species